rnacentral:tRNA from 1 species
GUGGUUGUAGCUCAGUGGUAGAGCACUUGCCAAGUACAUGUAGGGCCCUGGGUUUGAUCCUCAGCACCACA